UUAAACAUGACGUUCCUAAUUUUAAGAAUCUCCCAGCGGAUAACGAUUCUGGUGAUUCUGGCGUUUAGUUGAACUGGUGUUUAUUGCUUCUGGUCCUGUAAUACAGCAGUGGUGUAGAUACCUCCACAGCCCACAGCACUGCUGAGUACUGGAUUUGAUGCUGACAUUCUGUUUGUGCAACAGAGGUACAUACAGACUCCUUGCCAUUAUGUCAUAGUGACAAACGUCAUAUGAAAAGUUUUCAUUUUACAUUUUUCAACAGCAAAAAUGAAAUAAUGGAACGGUUGCAUAAAGUAAAUUACACUGCUAUUAAAUUACUGUAGGUUCUUACUGGAGUCUACAAGGAUAAUCUUAUUUCACUUUCUGUAUUUGUGUCCAAUUUUCGUUACCCGCUUUUUCUUACCCACUGACAUUAUCUAAUGACAGAGCUCAGGAAGAGCUCUUUCUCUUCUCUAAGGAUGCUUGAUGAGGCAGGCUGGCACUGGAAGUCUCUCUACAGAAACACUCGCCUGUUGCUGCUUCUCUCUCUAACUUGGCAGGGGAGCCCCGGGCUCCGGGAGCAGACGCACCGCGGGACCCCCUUCACGGUGGGGCGGGGGCACGGAUGCUGCCGCAUCUUCGUGAGACGAGGCAGAAGGGUCCCUGAGCGGGGCCGAGCCGAGCCGUCUCCUGCUUUCCAGCGGCGCUGGGCUCGCCCUCCCGUUCCGCGGGGCAGGUGUGACACGGCUGCGGCUCCGUGCGAGGCGUGUGCCGGGGCCGCGGGCUGGGCGCUCACCCCGCUCCUCGGAGGCGCCCUUGGGAACAUCGCCACGUUUAGGGGAUUCUCUCACCGAUAAUGACCCGCCGCCUCCACCCCCCGGGCAGCCGUCUGCCGGGACAAGGCUUAACGGGACGACUGCCGCUUGCUAGUACCUCCGCCGUUCCCGGGCAGACCGACACUGUCUUCCCGCGAAACAAAGACUGAUCCGGAUUUCAUCAAGGUUUCAUCAAGACCAUCCCAAAACAUUGUCCCUAUUUCUGGCCUACAACCAGACAUCAAAGGGACAGAGAGGAAUUGAAGUCUACACAGUGUGAAGAAAGCCCUUCCCACCGUGAUGGUGCUGCCCUUGAAGGCCAAAGGCACUGCUACAGCAAUGGGGAACACGACUGUGGUGCCAUUGAUGCCAGGGAAGGCGCUUGCUAGAGCUGAAACCAGCGGGGAAAGCUGCCAUUCCUACACAGAAGGAGAGCUUGCUGUUGCUUAGCAGCAGAGAGUUCCCCUAGGUCUGUUUGGAGAGGUGAACUAUGGCAGAAACUGGACAGUGUUCCCAGGAGAUCAGAAAAAAUAGAAAAGUUUAUUCCCACCCCAAAAGUUGAUUCCCACCCCAAAACCCCACUCAGUGUUCCCCCUGCCCAGUGGCAAGGAGCCCUUCUGCAAAGCUCUGCCCUUUUGGUUGUGGCAGAAAGCAUAGAACUGAUGUUGAACAAUUUUCUGUGCCAAACUACAAUUGCCGAGGCCCAGACAGCACCUAUGGAGAUAUUAUAGGUUUGACAGGUAGGAUUAAAUGAUACUGCCUUGUUCCUUGGCAGGGAAAAGGGGACAAAGUCUCAGUAAGUGUACUAAGGUCGUUGUUUAUGUGGUUUAAGACCAAGCUCAAAACACCAGUUAACACCACUGGCCUUUGAAUUCAGCUCUUGGUCACUCCACCAGGACAGGCAGUCAUUUCUCAGGCUGGUAAGUAAAUGUGACUCCCCUAAGACCUCUCUACACUAUGGUCCCAGGUGGCAUCCUAAAUCUUAGCAGGAAUGCUUGAUCAAGUUCAGGUUUAAAAUGCUGCCAGUAUGUAAAGCUGGGAGGUAUGUUCUUGCUCCAUCAUCCUUUCUAUUUGUCUCAGGACAGUCAUGAUCUGUUGUUCCUGCCAACAAGCAGCGGGUUUGGAAUGAAGUGAUCUUUAAGGUCCCUUCCAACCCAAACCAUUCCAUGGUUCUAGCAGACAUCUUAUUAAAGAAGGCUAUACAGUUUUUUUCAGAAUUCAUGAUGCAUAGUGAUGGUGGGUAGUACUGUAUAAAAAUAUGGUAUUUAUGCUCCCUAGCAUGAAUGGUGGUAGAUAAAGAAAGCCACCUAAGCUAAAUAUCUUCCAGGGAUUGGGGUUUGCAGGCAACUCUGUCUUGCUCGGUAGGCAGGUACCUCUGCAUCACUGCAUGUGUACACAGCCACAUCCUGAAACAGCUGAGUGGUGUGGCAGCAUAAAGUCCUCACAAAAGUGUUAACGUAGUCAUCUUCUCCUCCUUUCCCCGUGAAUGAUGGAUGCAGGCUGAUGUCCAGCUGCACAAGACAGAACUGCAUAAACAAGGGCUUGGACUUUGAUGAAAUGGGGCUUAGAAUUGAGAGAGCUGAGAGACCCAGACUGGAACCCUUUCUCUCCCUAAAGGAAUCAAAGAUAAAGCCCACAUCUGACUUCAGAGGGACUGUUAAGAGCAACAGCAAUGACUGCCAGCACUCAUUAGCUGAAGACACUGGAGUACAUGUAUAAAAGAAAUGCAAUUAUUCAACUGGAAUCAAAGUUUUGCAGAUAACUUUUAUGAUUUUUGACCUUUCUGGAAUUGUUUGUGAAUGGAUUCCUAUUUUAUCAAAUAAAUUAUGAUUCACAGCAUUUGCCAAAUAAUUUAGGUGAUCUAUGCAUGGUCAUGAGUGACUUCCACAUUACAAGCAGUUAAUAGAAUAAUGCUGGCCAUCUCCAGGCCCAAAGGAUUCCUGCAGAACUACAUCAGCUAGAUCAAGGAUAAAGGAUGCCAUACUUCCCUGGGGCUGCUCCUUCAGACAGCAUGCUUGAGGCCACUUCCAUUUCUGCCUGAAAUUAAAUGGAGAGGACUUGGCAAGCAGGAAAGCCACGCUGGUAUAACCAGGUGCCACGGUGCCUCAGCCUACAGGUUAUUGUUUAAGGAGGAUUCAUACUUGCUCUCUGUGGCACAUACCUUCUCACUUAACACUAUGCUGUUCUUCACCUCUCUGCUCCAUGCCCUGUGGAGGAAAGGAAGCCCUUACACGUGAGGCAAAUGUCAGCAGAAGCAGGAAAGGAUUCUGCUUCAAUCCCUCGCAAGAACAGGGCUGCCCCCUCACAGAAGGUGAGCUGGAAGAAAAGGGAUCCCACAUCCCACUCCCACUACUUGAGCAAGGCAAACAGAACACAGACAAAUUCAAGAAAAACCCAGAUCAUAAAAGUAUCUCAGCAAGGUGGAAGUCAGCUCCUCAGAUCAGAUUUAUGACCAGGUCCCACAACCACGAGGCAAGCCCACACUGAGAGGUGACAGCCAAGGUCAAGCAGAAAGUCAGCCCAGGGUGGGAGGCUCCAUCACGUGGCUGUCUCUUGGCUGGAGACCAUCACUCCUUCAGGCUCAGCUCAAGGGAACAGGCUCUGGGGGCUAAACUUAAACAGAGCUGCUGGUCCAUGGGUGAGGGUGGAGGCCCCAGCUGAGGCUGUCAGGGCCGUGAACACUUAUUAAUGCCCUCAGAGGCCUCACAUUGCUUUCCUAUCUGCACUUGCUUGGUCCCUUGCUGUCUGUAGGUGCAUUAUCAUGUAAACCCAACCAAAUCUGGAGACUGUGUGCUUAGAAACCAAAAUUAUGUUAUAGAAGUGAAACAGGUUCUAUCCAGGUGUAAUCUGGACAUGAACUAAAAUGUGCCAGCUCUCUGGGGAACAUUCUCACCCUCUUCUGAAGAAAGGAUAGCAAUGAGAUCUGUGGAACAGGACUGUCCUCGCUUGUAAAAUAAGCAUGUAUUCUAUUUUUGCCAUCUGUUGGGGGUUAGGCAGUUUUUCUUAUCUCUUUCAAGAACAAUGACACUGCCAGGAAGAUAAUCUCCUGCUGAUGGGCUAUUGAAUUACUCACUGUGGCUGGUAAGAUUAGUUACAUCAUCCCAUUGAGAGAUGCUCCACCCAGAGGGAGGAGCCAAGCAUCCCUGCCACCAUAAAACAAGCAUUUCUGAGACCACAGACAGCCUUCUUCGCUGGAUUUCCCAGAGGAAUCAGGAACCGAGGCCCAGCUGCUCCUUCGCCGCAUUUUCAGAAAGGAUCUACACCCUUCUGCAGAUCGCCGCUCCAGGAGGAGCAGCCACCAUCUGGCUGGACUGCUAUCAGCACCCUGACUUCUCAGGGUGUCAGGUUUUUCUCACUCUGCCAGUGGUUUUUUGCUUGUGCUAAAUUACAUUGUUAUUUAGUUUUUUUUCUUCCUAGUAAAGAACUGUUAUUCCCAUUCCCAUAUCUUUGCCUGAGAGCCCUUUUAAUUCUGAAAUUGUGAUAAUUCGGAAGGAGGGGGUUUACCUUUUCCAUUUCACAGGAGGCUUUUGCCUUCCUUCACAGACUCCCGUCUUUUCAAACCAAGACAAGGACUUUGGCUAAAUUUUGUCCAUAGGGGAAAGAAACUGUGAUAUAUUUGAAACCUUGAACUAUCUCCCUAUACAGUGCAUCAUAUGAUGCAAGGCAUCAUAAUGUUUCAGGGGUGUUUUAUUUUGUUUACUUGCAAAAAGCUCCUUGGAAGCACACUUAAUGUGUCUGUGUUAGCUCUGGGUCAACAAAGUCCUCCUAUCUUUGUGUUGAUAGUGGUAAAAAGCAGUUUAUUCACUUUUGCUUUUUAACACUUUUAUAAAUCAAGAUACAAACAUGCCAGAAAAAGGCUUUUUAAGCAAUGCAAAUGGAGAUAGAAACAAACAACUCAUUGAGUUAAUUUACAUGUCAUGAAGAGAAUUUAAAAGGCCUUUAAGCUUUGCCUACCACUUUUCAAAAAUAUUUCUCUUGCAAUUCAGUUUCUCUUUGAAAGCACUUUCAAGAAUAAAUAAAACUAAUUCAAGUGUUCCAUUAAAAUAUCUAGGGUUGUUGCUGGGUUUUUUGUUUGUUUUGGUUUUGGUUUUGGUUGUUUUUUUUAAUUGAAAAAUUUAUUUGAUAUUUUGGCUUUUUUACCCUUUGGCAUGUUGAAUUAGAUGCCAGCUUGCUCUCAGAAGCAGUCACCAAUCACACUGAGAAGUAUCAAAUCCAAAACCUCAUCUAAAGUGGAAGGGACCAUGGGAAUUAAUGAGGACUGUGGAAUCAGUCUGAUCAAGGACCCUGUCAGUCAUACAAAUUACAGGUCUAAGAACAUAAUCUCUCUAUAGCAACCUGUGUCAUAUAUAGAAAUGUUUUAUCAAAAGAACCUGAACUUUCUGUACAUUUCAAUGUCACCAGGAGUUAUUAAAAAGAAAAAAAAGUUUUAAUAUGAUCUCCUCAAGUCUGGAAGUGUGACAAACUGGUCUUGAACCUUACAAACCUGAAGUAAUUUUCCUAAAUACUGCUAGGAAAUCAUGUAAACCCUCUGUGCAGUGGUGCCCCAUCAGUAAAAGAGAAAGGCA